rnacentral:rRNA from 1 species
ACGAACGCUGGCGGCAGGCCUAACACAUGCAAGUCGAGCGCUUACCUUCGGGUAGGAGCGGCGGACGGGUUAGUAACGCGUGGGAAUAUACCCUUCACUACGGAAUAGCCUCGGGAAACUGAGAGUAAUACCGUAUACGCCCUUCGGGGGAAAGAUUUAUCGGUGAAGGAUUAGCCCGCGUAAGAUUAGAUAGUUGGUGGGGUAAUGGCCUACCAAGUCUACGAUCUUUAGCUGGUUUUAGAGGAUGAUCAGCAACACUGGGACUGAGACACGGCCCAGACUCCUACGGGAGGCAGCAGUGGGGAAUCUUGGACAAUGGGCGCAAGCCUGAUCCAGCCAUGCCGCGUGUGUGAUGAAGGCCUUAGGGUCGUAAAGCACUUUCGCCAGAGAUGAUAAUGACAGUAUCUGGUAAAGAAACCCCGGCUAACUCCGUGCCAGCAGCCGCGGUAAUACGGAGGGGGUUAGCGUUGUUCGGAAUUACUGGGCGUAAAGCGCACGUAGGCGGAUUAGUCAGUCAGAGGUGAAAUCCCAGGGCUCAACCCUGGAACUGCCUUUGAUACUGCUAGUCUUGAGUUCGAGAGAGGUGAGUGGAAUUCCGAGUGUAGAGGUGAAAUUCGUAGAUAUUCGGAGGAACACCAGUGGCGAAGGCGGCUCACUGGCUCGAUACUGA